UGUGGGAGAAGACACAAGGGAUGUGCUGGAGUUGUGGAGACCUCCCUGGGCAGAGAGGAAGCCUUGCCAGCACCUGGCUGUCCUAAGCAUCCAUUUAUAGAUCUGAAAUCCUAGUUUAAUUCCAUAAGGGUGCCAUGGGACACCUUCUCAAAAAGAAACACCAGACAACAGCUGAGGCCACAAAGAUGUCGCUAUCAAAGGCAGCAUCUCGGGAUAUUUUGAGGCGAGCUCAGAGUCCCAGUGCCAAAGGGCAACAUGUAAAUUGUGCUGUUAUUCUGAAGCAUGCAAGUGAGGUCAGUGGGGAAAUAGAGGCUCUAAUGCAGCUUUGUGAUUUGAAGCUUGGUGUCUAAGCUGUGCUCUAAUGUAUCAUGGAAAAGCAUUUGUUUCCCACGAUGGAUCAGGUGGGUGCCAGCAGAUUGCUCCUUCUGUGCCCAGGUCCUGAGCCCCACUGCCUGU
rnacentral:lncRNA from 1 species